rnacentral:rRNA from 1 species
AUACGUAGGUGGCAAGCGUUGUCCGGAAUUAUUGGGCGUAAAGCGCAUGUAGGCGGUUUGGUAAGUCGGUCGUGAAAAUGCGGUGCUUAACGCCGUAUGGCGAUCGAAACUGCGGAACUUGAGUGCAGGAGAGGAAAGGGGAACUCCCAGUGUAGCGGUGCAAUGCGUAGAUAUUGGGAAGAACACCGGUGGCGAAGGCGCCUUUCUGGACUGUGUCUGACGCUCAGAUGCGAAAGCCAGGGUAGCGAACGGGAUUAGAUACCCCGGUAGUCCUGGCCGUAAACGAUGGGUACUAGGUGUGGGAGGUAUCGACUCCUUCCGUGCCGGAGUUAACGCAAUAAGUACCCCGCCUGGGGAGUACGGCCGCAAGGCUUAAACUCAAAUGAAUUGACGGGG